rnacentral:misc_RNA from 1 species
GUAUAAUGUUGUCAAUUUUAAUAUAUUAGACGCUUGAUUUCUUAAAUCCACAUCCCAGAGAGCUGGUAGGUUGCCCUUUUAAAUAGAAUAAGUCUUAGGUUCUCUGUGGAUUUGUGCUUUGACUUGAGACAUCAUGUCUAAAGAUUGCUUUUGCCUUUUGUUUGUUGUAUUCUUUAGUGGCCUGAGGAAUUUUUUAAAGCUACAGGGGCUUUUUAUGUUGCUUUUGGCCUGCUUCCUUUGAUAUUUAUCAAUCAAUUCUCAUUUUUCUGCUUUCAGCUUUCUUUGUUUUUUUGUUGGUAUUUUAGUGGUUGUAGUCAUAUCUUCUUGCUUUUCAGACCAACAAAACAUUUUAUUUUUCAGGAAUAAGGUUUCUCUUUGAUCUGGAGAUCUUAUGAAAUAGUUUAUUUUAUAUAGAUACUUGUCAUUUAUUCUGCACAUCUUUGGUAUUAUUGCUGGUUAUGGCAACUGUUUGAUUAUAAUUCACAGAAGGAUUUAUUACUUUUCCUUUAUGCUGACCUGCAUUGUUAUGAAUAUACUGAUCUUAACGUAGAGUUUCA